AGCAACAUUUAAAAAGGAAAAGUAAGUCUUAGUUUCCUGGAAUUUAUAUAAAGUGUCAGAGGUUGUUAAAAAGUGCUUGUGGAGGAAUAGUGGACUUACCUGGGAGUAACUAACCUUGUGGUAGCCCUCUUUGUAUGUCAGUUUAUACAUACAAGUCUCUUGGUUUUGUUUUGCAAAGCAUAUUGGUGGUUCUUGUUUCACUUUCUCUAUAUGAAAUCUAUCUGUGAGGACAGGAAAUACAUACAGCAUGUUUGUUUUGUAACAGCAGGGGACCUGGCUAGAAGGGGACCUGGUUGUCAUAAAAUCUAGUAUUAAAAGGCAGUUCCGAUUUACAUGCCUGUGCAUCCCUUCACAAACUUUUUUCAUGCAAGUUUUGUUUUCCUUACACAUUAUCAGAAAAAUAUAGAAAUAACAGAACUACUACUGAUACACCUUUUUAUUCUGAACUAAACAAGAAGAGACUUAAACUUAGUACCAUCACAGAUGGACAGAUCACUCUUCCAAAAGAAGGUCACCAAGGACUGGCACAGGCUGCUCAUAGAGGUUGUGGUGUCUCCCACCUUGGAGAUACGCAGAAACCAUCUGGACAUGGCCCUGGCCAAGCAGCUGUGGGUGGCCGUGCUUGAACAGGAGAGUUCAGCCUGGAUGACCUCCAGAGGUCCCUUCCAACCUCAACCACUCUGUGAUUGAAUAAAGUAUUCUCUCCAAUACUGUGUCCUUAACUUUGAUCUUGCUCACCAGAAUCUGUCUCCAAAAAAAAGGGAGACAUGCACCCGUAUCAUUCAGAAGUAAACCAGUUCAUGCAAGUCUUGAAUAAGAGGUGCAUCAUCAGACAAAUCAAGACUAGGGAAUGUGCGAUUGACAAAAUCCUUACAGCUCAGUAGGCCUAGAACUCUAAGCUUUUGAUAAAAACUAUCAAACUCUCUGAAGCACAGAAAUAGAUGAAGCCCAUUUAGGAAAUGGAAAA